GGGGAUUUAGCUCAGUGGUUGAGCGCUUGCCUAGCAAGUGCAAGGCCCUGGGUUCAGUCCCCA
rnacentral:tRNA from 1 species